UGGGGAAUAUUGCACAAUGGGCGAAAGCCUGAUGCAGCGACGCCGCGUGAGGGAUGACGCCCUUCGGGUUGUAAACCUCUUUCAGCAGGGACGAAGCGCAAGUGACGGUACCUGCAGAAGAAGCACCGGCUAACUACGUGCCAGCAGCCGCGGUAAUACGUAGGGUGCAAGCGUUGUCCGGAAUUACUGGGCGUAAAGAGUUCGUAGGCGGUUUGUCGCGUCGUUUGUGAAAACCAGCAGCUCAACUGCUGGCUUGCAGGCGAUACGGGCAGACUUGAGUACUGCAGGGGAGACUGGAAUUCCUGGUGUAGCGGUGAAAUGCGCAGAUAUCAGGAGGAACACCGGUGGCGAAGGCGGGUCUCUGGGCAGUAACUGACGCUGAGGAACGAAAGCGUGGGUAGCGAACAGG
rnacentral:rRNA from 1 species